AACAUAGGAUUCAAAAGAAUUAAGAAAAUUCUUUCAAUCUCACGACACAAACAUCCAGUGUCAUGACAUCAAAGCCAGUAUGCUCAAAAAUCCAAAAGCAUAGAGUGUGUCACAACAUCUAACCCCUAUGUCGUAACAACAGGAAACUGCUAGGGAUGUCGUGACACGAAACCCCAGUAUCACGACAUCACUGUAAUUUUCUGCAAGGUUGACCUGACCCAUUUGCACAACCCGAUAGCUGAAACCACACUUUACCCAAUUUGUAACCAUGAAAACACCUAUUUUAUAACAUAAAACCAUAUUUUACCUUUAGUUUAACAUCUC
rnacentral:lncRNA from 1 species